rnacentral:lncRNA from 1 species
GAAAAACACAAUUUACUUUGAAAUGUGUGCAUCAUCGAGACCUCCAUUUAAAAUGUGUUUUACUCACAUAUAAGUUAAUGCUUUUAGCUAAAACUAUAUAUUUUUUUAAAUCUGUCCACACUGCACGCUCAAAACAGAUUUUUGUUUGUUAUUUAGUGGUAGUAAAUGAGUCUACUGGGGGUGGAUUAUAAUCUUUAAGUGAUUUCAUUACUCGUUUUAGUAGGUCCAUCAGUUUAAUAAAUGAGUGGCAGGAACUUUCCUCAGCAGUCAGUGUUCAUUAGAUGCACAUUCAAAUUCAUUCACAGUUUUAAUGAAUCUGAGCAUGGCAUGCUCCUCAUUUGCUCUGAAAGCUGUCAAAUGUGAGAUGUAUUUGGCUGUGAAUGCAGAUUUGCAAAAUUGAUGUAAUUUGUAUUUGGCAGGCUGUAUUUGGCUUUUUAUUAUCACUGAGAAUAUUCUGCUCAAAUUCACAAUCUGUUGUUACCAUUAGCAGUGUUCAUUAUCCAGACAGCAGGCAAGAGCUCUAACCGCAUGGAGGACUUAACACUUGUUUAACACUGCAGCUGUUGAGCUCUUAGACAAUAGAUUUUGACAUAAAAGCCCUCAACAGUGUUUACUGAAUAAGAAGCAGAAGUGUGUGGAUGUAAGAAGCCACCAAUGUAAUGGACAAAGCCCCACAUUCUGCUUCCUCUCUACUCUGCCUGUUUGUAACUCGGCCUGUGAUCUGCUUUUAUGGCGCAUUUCUUGCGCUGAGCUGUGAGUUUUAGUUGGCAAACACAGGUGAUGCUUCAGGUUAUCUAUAAAUUCUAGAACUCACCUGCCAGUAUCAGAGACACUGACUAGGCUACCAUGAACCUGAUGCACCUCAGGAUUUUCAUACUGUGCUUGUAAGUAUACUCCUUGUUGCAUAAAAAAUACAUUUAGAAUGGAUUAAUGAUGUGAAUUAAGGACUAGCAUGAUAACUGAUGUACGUUCUAAAAAAAGUAUAUUGCUGUGUUUGUCUUUAUCCACACAGGUAUUUUGUCUUGCCUGUAAGUGGCAAUGUUUUGCCAGUCUACAAACUAGACUGGAUAGACAGCCCUCCUGCAGAUACUGCUGAGGGGGAUGUGGAAUGCUUCUCUGAAUAUAUGGAGCUCUGGAUCCAUAGAAUGAGGAUUGAGGGACUGAGGCUAUGGCUUUCUACAAUUUUGAGGAUUCAAGUUUCACUUACAUCUCUGGAGAGCCUAAACCAUCAGCUGUCUGCAUGUGGGUUUGGCCUGCAUAAAGAUCCUGACAGGAACUACAUCUUCAGAGUCAUGUACAGUGGGUGCUUUGUACAGUUGGAGGUAAAGCCUAAUAUUUCUGAAUUACAUAAAUAUAGCAAUGGUUGCUUUUCACUUUAUUAUACUUGUUCAGGUAUAGGAAAAGAUAAUUCACUACACUGCCAUGAAUUUAUUUACAAAACCAUCCAAUCUGCUUUUUCCAGCGUGGACAUUAUGUGAUUGCACUGAAUUUGAUGAAGAGAAUAAGCCGUUUUGGAGGAAGGGCACAUAAUUAUGUAAUGAAGUGUCCUGUAGUGGCAGCACCACCCAACAGAGAGCAUAUUCAGUGUGACCCUGAUUUCAUACAGGUAGGCUUUUAAAACCUUUUUUUAGGACUGUAUGACUUUUUUUACUGCAGCACAAAACAACCUGCAAGUUCUUCUAUGUCUACUUCUCUUCUUAAAUGUGUAACCACAUUUUUCCAAAGGUUACCAGAGAGAUCCCAAUGGACAGUUGGAACAAUGAGGUAAUGACCUUCACAGAGUCAUAGGUGUUUGACAUAUAAGGUCAGUGGUUCCUAAACCCAGUCAAAGAAACGAACUAUGCAAAAUAUCUGUGCUUGUCUACAUCUAAUACACCCAUAGUAAACCAUAGCAAAUUAAAAAAGCUAAUUACUAAGCUCCA